AUUUCCUAGAAGAGGGAUUUUCAGGUAUCUGUAUAGGAGAGAUUUGCUUCUCUUGUGGUGCAAGUUCAAGCAUAUAUUCAGCUGAACUGCAGUAGGUGCUGCCCCAGAACUGCAGCAGGUGGAAUCCCCUAUUGUAGUGAAGCAAAAUUUCAUGCAUCAACAGUCUGCUCAGCAUGCAUUGAUGUCAGCUGGAGCGAAAGAUGCAAGUGCUCAUGACAUCACUAUUCAGCAUAUGCUGGCCAGGUGAAAGCAGAAGCCCAACAGCAACAACAAAAUUCAUCUAAUGAUUUGAACAUGGAACCUGCUACUAAUUUUGGAGUAAAUAAGAGUCUCAUGAAUGAGGUUGUGUCCUUUUCUUCCACAAUAAUUCAUUCUCCCAUUUUUUCUUCAAAUCAUCAAGAUAAUUAUCUUGAUGAUCAGAAAAAAUGCAAUCUUCUUUCAUAAAUAAAAACUUUGUUUUAGUGUCUUACCUUAUCAGGAUUGAGCCAGCUGCUUCCAUGUAUUUUCUUAUUGGUAACUUUGCAUAUGCUCCAGAUUUUAACAUAUAGUGUGGAUGGUCUUGUUUCGAUAAGUACUGUUAAGCUAAAGCUACGGAAGCAGAAGCUACAUGCUUUCUUGCAA